GCCGAGCCGAGCCGAGCCGAGCCUAGCGGCUCUGCCACGGCCCGUCCUCUGGCCCCGCUCCCGAAAUGCCAUUCUCGUGACUGUGCAAGGAACCUACAGAACUGUAAUGUCUAACCCUACAUGGAAUAACAGCUCUUGGAAGUUUUUCGGGCUGUACCCGCCUCAGUGCAAAACUUAACAAAUCGGCUGCAGCUCCUUCUGCUAAGGAUCAGCCUUGGUACAGAAACAGUGGUAGUUAAAAGGCACAUGAGAACAUCAGAAACAGCUGGUUUUGUGCCUAGGUUUCACUCAUAGAGGUAGGUCCUUGUUAGAGACUCUGGGUAGUCUGAUGAAAAUGGUGUUUAACUACAAAGCUUCAAUUUCUGCUGUUGCUGAUCAUGGCAGCCUAAUUCCUGGUCUUCCUGAGUCCCUGGAGCAGAGGACAUGCUCUCCUCCUCCUGCUCUGCCCCUGCCCUGCCUCCAUCUCCUCCUCCACCCCACACGUUUCUUAGCCUUGUGUAGAGCUCAGCAGAGAUUUCUUCAUGAAGACUGGAAUGUGUUUAUAUAAUAUUUUAUAUAUUAUUUUAGGCUCCUGCUACUCAAAUGUAGGCAAAUGCUUAACCUCUUAUUCGCCAUCAUUAGACGAACUGUGGAAUUGUUGUAGCAGACAUCAAGUCAGGUGGAUCUAAACCAGCUUCUGUUUUUUCCUGCCUAGGAGGUUCAUCCUUCACCAUUUUCCUGGCAAGUGUGGCUACCAAGAGCAGGUUUUCCAGGCCAGGAGUGUUUAGUGGGAGCAUUGAUUAUGAACCACACUGAUCAAGCAGUGCUGAGCUGGAUAUAGUGGGAGCUCUUCUAUGUUGGGAAGGGAGUGAUGUGAGAAUCUCAAUUUCUGCACAAGCAAAGGUAGGGCAGCAGUAGGAACACUGGGCAGAGCUGCUGAAAAGGAGAGAGCAACCUGCUGCACUAAAUCACAGCUCCCUGGGGACACAGUUCCAUAGUUAGCAUCCUCAAAUGGCAUUCCUUUAUUACGGCAUCAUUGUGCACGGUCCUCUAGAGAGGAAACAAACGCUCUCUAAAACAAUCUGCUGGCAGCUCAGGCUGGAGUAUUUGAGGUUUUCCAGGGCUCUUUUGCUGUGUCACUUUUCCCUUUAAUGUUCCAGCUUGAAGGUUGUUGUUCUUUCUCCAUCAAAGUGCGUUAAAGCGCCGGUAAGAGUGUCUGCUCCAAGGACAAGGUGGAGAAGGCAGCAGCCCAGGGAGAACAAGAGAUACUGCAGAACAGCUUUGUUUUGGUGUAAUCUGUCUUAUCUGCAUGUGAUGCAAAGACAGGGCAGUUUUCACAGGACCUGGAGGCUGCGUGGUGACAUGUUUUCUGUCCUUUUAUAAAAUCCGCCACGUUAUUUUGAUUAGAGCGCUAACGUAACUCCUGGCAGCCUCAAAUCUCACUGCUAGCAGCUACUUCCCUCCAAAGCCUGAUGUGGUGUUAACAAGCAGAGAGAUCUUGUGCGUCCUGUUUACAUGGAGCUGGGAAGACAGCGUGUUCUGUGGGAGGUGCCAAGGUAGCUGCAGUUGGAUAUAAGGUGAAAAAAACUCUGUGUGUGCAGACAGGCCUUGGUGGGGCGUGUUCAUUUGUGUUUGGUGGUGUUCAGGAACUCCAGCUGCAAUACUGGCAUGAUGAUGUUAUGUUCUUUUAUAUCUGAAUAUGUAUCUUUUAUAUCUAUGCAUGUGUAGCAUGCUUGUGUUUGUAUCUAUUUAUAUUGAUAUGUAUAUAGCUAUUCUCUCUCAUAGGAAAGUCCAUGUCCUGAUCAUCUGUGCUUGUGAUCUUCUCACGUAG